GAAUACUUCCACCCGGAAGUACCGGAGAUAAACCAAUGCACCCAGUUUUGCAGAGGAUGGGUGUUCUUGUGUUGAAGGCUCUGAGCUGGGAUUUAGGAAACCUGGAUUCAAUUUUCUGCUUUGUCACUCGGUUCCAGUUUAAAAUUGGCAUGGUGUGCUCAUCCUCCUGGGAAACCUGCAAGUGGUGCUGUGAUGACCCCUGUAGCCAAGGAAAGAGAAGUGAAUGGCUCAGCCAGAUGUGCUUCCAAACCUAUCCUGAAGAUGCUGACUGCCUAUGGUAUGUCUGGAAAAUGCCAUUCUACUCUACACCUGCAAGCUUAAGAAACAAUAACUGCAUGAGGAAUUGUCAGUCUAGAAACCUGAUCCUCUCUCCUUGUGGGGUAGCAUCUCCAGGCAUUACGAGUCACUGAGAUUAACUGUGGAAGACUCCUUCUCCUUUACUUCAAAUUAUGAAGCAAGCAAGUCUUGUUUUAGAAAGUGUCAUCCAGCACAGUUAAAUGCCUGUCAACAAGCAUUGACAAGCAUCUCUCAUGUUUGUCAACAGAAAAAAAAAAAAAGCUUUGAUAAUUACAUGAAAUGAUUAAAUACAUUAAAGUAUGUAAAUAUAUAACACAUAUAAAACCAUUCUUUAUUUAACUUCACUGUUUUUUUCUGACUGUGGGGCUGUAUCUUAUACUAGUAAUAAAAAGGUGUG
rnacentral:lncRNA from 7 species